rnacentral:rRNA from 1 species
GACGAACGCUGGCGGCGUGCCUAACACAUGCAAGUCGAGCGGAGGUAGACAAGGAGUAAUCUGAGUUUACCUUAGCGGCGGACGGGUGAGUAACGCGUGAGCAACCUGCCUUUCACAGGGGGAUAAGGCGGCGAAAGCCGCUCUAAUACCGCAUGAGACCACGGUGAUUAUAUUACAGGGGUCAAAGGAGCAAUCCGGUGAAAGAUGGGCUCGCGGCCGAUUAGGUAGUUGGUGGAGUAGAGGCUCACCAAGCCAAUGAUCGGUAGCCGGCCUGAGAGGGUGAACGGCCACAUUGGAACUGAGAGACGGUCCAAACUCCUACGGGAGGCAGCAGUGGGGAAUAUUGGGCAAUGGGCGAAAGCCUGACCCAGCAACGCCGCGUGAAGGAAGAAGGUUUUCGGAUUGUAAACUUCUGUUCUUGGGGAAGAGAAGAAGACGGUACCCAAGGAGGAAGCCCCGGCUAACUACGUGCCAGCCGCCGCUGUAA